GCCACCCAGGAAGCCAGAGAUGGAGAGGCAGCUGAGCUGUGCGCCCACUGUGUCUACCACCGGAGGGUGUCCCAGGUGCAGUCACUCGGCGGGCCCCAGGUGGGCCACUGGGGUACCGGGCCCAGAGCCCAGCCUUGCUAAAUAAAGCUCGGAGGACCACGUGCCUGCUAGGUUCUCAAGGUCUUCUGAGACGUCGCAGCUUGAGUGGACAAGACUUUGAGCUUCGGUGGCCACUUCGUGAUCAGAAACGGACAGACCUGAAGACAGAAGCUAGACAAAGAAGGCAACAGGAAUAAACGAUGGGAACU